GUGUAAUCACAUGACUGCUCAAGGUGUCGUUAUCAAUGGUGUUGGAUAUGUUGUAUACCAUGGGGUAGAGAAUGUCAAAAGAAUCACUGGUUCAAUUCAUGAGACCAUCUCCAGGUAUCAUAGAUUCGAGGCUUCGUAGCUUUAAUACUUGAAGAGUUUUUGUAAAUGGGAAUUUCUAUAGCGGAAGAUUAUAUAUGAUUUCAGACCUCACGAGGAACAGUUGUGAAAGGUCUGGAAUUGUAUAUAACCUUUCGACAAAAACCUUCAAGUUCUUUCCAGCAAAUGCCCCAAA